AGUGAGCGCUGGCGGUAGGCCUAACACAUGCAAGUCGAACGGCAGCACAGUAAGAGCUUGCUCUUACGGGUGGCGAGUGGCGGACGGGUGAGGAAUACAUCGGAAUCUACUUUUUCGUGGGGGAUAACGUAGGGAAACUUACGCUAAUACCGCAUACGACCUACGGGUGAAAGCAGGGGAUCUUCGGACCUUGCGCGAUUGAAUGAGCCGAUGUCGGAUUAGCUAGUUGGCGGGGUAAAGGCCCACCAAGGCGACGAUCCGUAGCUGGUCUGAGAGGAUGAUCAGCCACACUGGAACUGAGACACGGUCCAGACUCCUACGGGAGGCAGCAGUGGGGAAUAUUGGACAAUGGGCGCAAGCCUGAUCCAGCCAUACCGCGUGGGUGAAGAAGGCCUUCGGGUUGUAAAGCCCUUUUGUUGGGAAAGAAAAGCAGCAGGUUAAUACCCCGCUGUUCUGACGGUGCCCAAAGAAUAAGCACCGGCUAACUUCGUG
rnacentral:rRNA from 1 species